AUUGAACGCUAGCGGCAGGCCUAACACAUGCAAGUCGAACGAGUGGCGGACGGGUGAGUAAUGUCUGGGAAACUGCACGAUGGAGGGGGAUAACUACUGGAAACGGUAGCUAAUACCGCAUACCAUCGGAUGUGCCCAGAUGGGAUUAGCUAGUAGGGGGGGUACCGGCUCACCUCGGCGACGAUCCCUAGCUUGCCUGAGAGGAUGACCAGCCAACCUGAAACUGAGACACGGUCCAGACUCCUACUUUAGGCAGCGUUGGUGAAUAUUGGCCAAUUGGCGCAAGCCUGCUGCAGCCAUGCCGCGUGUAUGAAGAAGGCCUUAGGGGUGUAAAGUACUUUCAGCGAGGAGUCGUUACCCGCAGAAGAAGCACCGGCUAUCUCCGUGCCAGCAGCCGCGGUAAUUC
rnacentral:rRNA from 1 species